rnacentral:lncRNA from 1 species
UUUGUCAUUAGACUCUGAAGGAUAGUUCACAAUCAUAUCACAUCUCAUUAUUUUUUUAUACUGAAAAUCCAUGUGAGCUAUUUCCAUUGCCUAAAUCAUUGUCCUCUGUCUGUCUUAGCAAAAAUGAGAAGUAUUCUCCCUAAUUAAAUGUCAAAUGGUACGAGUGCUCCCUGUGGUAUUCUGUAUAAAAAUUGCAUCCCAGCCUCC